CAGGAGGAGUUUCCACAUCCAACCACCAGAUGCAUUCUUUGUGAAGAUGAGCCCAAUGAACAUUUGAUGCACCUCUUCUUUAGCUGUGAUUUUAGUCAAAACUUCUGGAUGAAUAUAGGUUUUCAAUGGAACACAGACUAUGAUCUUAUGGAGAUGCUAUUGGAGGGUAGAAGGAUGAAUAAUACCUCUUGCUACAAAGAAUGCCUCAUUGCUGGAUGUUGGAGUUUAUGGAAGCACAGGAACAACAUCAUCUUUGAUCACAAGGAAAAGAACAUGUCAUACUGCAUCAGCACCUUCAAGGAACAUUUCUACAUGAUUAUCAAAAAAGCUAAGCCAAGUUUGAAAGAAGGCAUGCAGAGCUGGCUAGAUUAUUUGUAG
rnacentral:rRNA from 1 species